rnacentral:rRNA from 1 species
UACGUAGGGUGCGAGCGUUGUCCGGAAUUAUUGGGCAUAAAGGGCUCGUAGGCGGUUUGUCGCGUCGGGAGUGAAAACCCAGGGCUUAACUCUGGGCUUGCUUUCGAUACGGGCAGACUAGAGGUAUGCAGGGGAGAACGGAAUUCCUGGUGUAGCGGUGAAAUGCGCAGAUAUCAGGAGGAACACCGGUGGCGAAGGCGGUUCUCUGGGCAUUACCUGACGCUGAGGAGCGAAAGUGUGGGGAGCGAACAGG